UUCACGCUUGCGACUUUUCACUAUCUGCAGCAAUUUCACAUUCUCUUCCCAAUGCUCCUUUCUUAUUAUCAAUGCAAAUCCUUCAAUUCUAUUUUAUCUUCUUCCAAUUCCUAAUCAUCAACCAUUAUUUUCUCAUUUCCUCCAUCUUAACCCUUCCUCUCUCUCUCUCCCCUUUUAAAUUUCCCGUUGACGUUGAAGAUUUGGUUUAUGUAGUGCAAUUUAAGGAAAGGGGAGAACGAUUCCUUCUUUUUCUUCUUCAAGUAAAGGUGGUCUGAAAACUUAUUGAGUUGGUGACAAGUCCGACGGCAAAUUUGUCGAUUGUACGUGUAGAUUUGGUGCCAUUGAUUUGCACGUCGCGGUGGUUAAUCUGCAUUUACACUGUAUGAUUUGGAUUCUACGGUGGUUCUGAGUUGUGUCGUCGAUGGCGAAUGAAAGUAAUUGGUGAGAUUUUCAUGUGACGAGAAAUAGAUUUGUCAUACCGCUUACCAGAAAAUGUUGCAAUAGUAACUCUCGAGAUUUCACCGCAUCCUACGCCUUCUGAUGCAAAUGAGCCUAUAUUGUCAAGUCAUAGUGAAAUAAGGCCAGAAAUCACAACAUGCUCAUACUAAAAUAACAUGCCCAUGCUGAAAUAAGGCCAAAAAUCAAGAAUUUUUUAGAAGCUGAAAGUAAAGCCGGUGAAGAGCAAGUCGAUGAGCAUGCAGAUAAUGGGAACUCAGAUUCACAGCAAAACAUGUUUUUCUUGGAUGCUGAUCAUUUUCCUAAAUUGCUAGGCAUGCUACACAUAGAAACAACAUUUUUAGAAAUUGCUAUGCAUGAUAGCUCUCAUUUUUUUGUACGAUGAAGAAUUAAAGGAAGGAAUUGUUUGGUUCACAUUCAUUGUCUGGGUUUGGGUAGUUACAAUACUAUCUAGGUGUUUAUAGGGUGGAGGUAAUUCUCUUGAAAUGUAUUCAAAACAUAUAGCGUUUUUCAGAUAUGGAAUUGUGGC